rnacentral:rRNA from 1 species
CAGUGAAAUUGAACUCGCUGUGAAGAUGCAGUGUACCCGCGGCAAGACGGAAAGACCCCGUGAACCUUUACUAUAGCUUGACACUGAACAUUGAGCCUUGAUGUGUAGGAUAGGUGGGAGGCUUUGAAGUGUGGACGCCAGUCUGCAUGGAGCCGACCUUGAAAUACCACCCUUUAAUGUUUGAUGUUCUAACGUGGACCCGUGAUCCGGGUUGCGGACAGUGUCUGGUGGGUAGUUUGACUGGGGCGGUCUCCUCCUAAAGAGUAACGGAGGAGCACGAAGGUUGGCUAAUCCUGGUCGGACAUCAGGAGGUUAGUGCAAUGGCAUAAGCCAGCUUGACUGCGAGCGUGACGGCGCGAGCAGGUGCGAAAGCAGGUCAUAGUGAUCCGGUGGUUCUGAAUGGAAGGGCCAUCGCUCAACGGAUAAAAGGUACUCCGGGGAUAACAGGCUGAUACCGCCCAAGAGUUCAUAUCGACGGCGGUGUUUGGCACCUCGAUGUCGGCUCAUCACAUCCUGGGGCUGAAGUAGGUCCCAAGGGUAUGGCUGUUCGCCAUUUAAAGUGGUACGCGAGCUGGGUUUAGAACGUCGUGAGACAGUUCGGUCCCUAUCUGCCGUGGGCGCUGGAGAACUGAGGGGGGCUGCUCCUAGUACGAGAGGACCGGAGUGGACGCAUCACUGGUGUUCGGGUUGUCAUGCCAAUGGCACUGCCCGGUAGCUAAAUGCGGAAGAGAUAAGUGCUGAAAGCAUCUAAGCACGAAACUUGCC